GACGAACGCUGGCGGCGUGCUUAACACAUGCAAGUCGAACGGAAAGGCCCUGCUUUUGUGGGGUGCUCGAGUGGCGAACGGGUGAGUAACACGUGAGUAACCUGCCCUUGACUUUGGGAUAACUUCAGGAAACUGGGGCUAAUACCGGAUAGGAGCUCCUGCUGCAUGGUGGGGGUUGGAAAGUUUCGGCGGUUGGGGAUGGACUCGCGGCUUAUCAGCUUGUUGGUGGGGUAGUGGCUUACCAAGGCUUUGACGGGUAGCCGGCCUGAGAGGGUGACCGGCCACAUUGGGACUGAGAUACGGCCCAGACUCCUACGGGAGGCAGCAGUGGGGAAUAUUGCACAAUGGGCGGAAGCCUGAUGCAGCAACGCCGCGUGCGGGAUGACGGCCUUCGGGUUGUAAACCGCUUUCGCCUGUGACGAAGCGUGAGUGACGGUAAUGGGUAAAGAAGCACCGGCUAACUACGUGCCAGCAGCCGCGGUGAUACGUAGGGUGCGAGCGUUGUCCGGAUUUAUUGGGCGUAAAGGGCUCGUAGGUGGUUGAUCGCGUCGGAAGUGUAAUCUUGGGGCUUAACCCUGAGCGUGCUUUCGAUACGGGUUGACUUGAGGAAGGUAGGGGAGAAUGGAAUUCCUGGUGGAGCGGUGGAAUGCGCAGAUAUCAGGAGGAACACCAGUGGCGAAGGCGGUUCUCUGGGCCUUUCCUGACGCUGAGGAGCGAAAGCGUGGGGAGCGAACAGGCUUAGAUACCCUGGUAGUCCACGCUGUAAACGGUGGGUACUAGGUGUGGGGUCCAUUCCACGGGUUCCGUGCCGUAGCUAACGCUUUAAGUACCCCGCCUGGGGAGUACGGCCGCAAGGCUAAAACUCAAAGGAAUUGACGGGGCCCCGCACAAGCGGCGGAGCAUGCGGAUUAAUUCGAUGCAACGCGUAGAACCUUACCUGGGUUUGACAUGGAUCGGGAGUGCUCAGAGAUGGGUGUGCCUCUUUUGGGGUCGGUUCACAGGUGGUGCAUGGCUGUCGUCAGCUCGUGUCGUGAGAUGUUGGGUUAAGUCCCGCAACGAGCGCAACCCUUGUUCACUGUUGCCAGCACGUUAUGGUGGGGACUCAGUGGAGACCGCCGGGGUCAACUCGGAGGAAGGUGGGGAUGACGUCAAGUCAUCAUGCCCCUUAUGUCCAGGGCUUCACGCAUGCUACAAUGGCUGGUCCAGAGAGUGGCGAGCCUGUGAGGGUGAGCGAAUCUCGGAAAGCCGGUCUCAGUUCGGAUUGGGGUCUGCAACUCCGACCUCAUGAAAUUCGGAGUCGCUAGUUAAUCCCAGAUCAGUCAACGCUGCGGUGGAAUACGUUCCCGGGGGC
rnacentral:rRNA from 1 species